CCUACGGGAGACAGCAGUGAGGAAUAUUGGUCAAUGGGCGCGAGCCUGAACCAGCCAAGUAGCGUGAAGGAUUACUGCCCUACGGGUUGUAAACUUCUUUUAUAAAGGAAUAAAGUGAGGCACGUGUGCCUUUUUGUAUGUACUUUAUGUCUAAGGAUCGGCUAACUCCGUGCCAGCAGCCGCGGUAAUACGGAGGAUCCGUGCGUUAUCCGGAUUUCUUUGGUUUAAAGGGUGCGUAGAAGGGUUGUUAACACAGUUGUGAAAGUUUGCGGCUCAACCGUAAAAUUGCAAUUGAUACUGGCAGCCUUGAGUACAGAUGAGGUAGGCGGAAUGCGUGGUGUUGCGGUGAAAUGCUUAGAGAGCACGAAGAACUCGGAUGGCGAAGGGAGCCUAAUAAACUGCCACUGACAUUGAUGCUCGAAAGUGUGGGUAUCAAACAGGAUUAGAUACGCGUGUAGAA
rnacentral:rRNA from 1 species